UACGGGGAGGGCAAGCGUUGUUCGGAAUUACUGGGCGUAAAGGGCUCGUAGGUGGCCAACUAAGUCAGACGUGAAAUCCCCCGGCUUAACCGGGGAACUGCGUCUGAUACUGGAUGGCUUGAGUUUGGGAGAGGGACGCGGAAUUCCAGGUGUAGCGGUGAAAUGCGUAGAUAUCUGGAGGAACACCGGUGGCGAAGGCGGCGUCCUGGACCAACACUGACACUGAGGAGCGAAAGCCAGGGGAGCAAACGGG
rnacentral:rRNA from 1 species